rnacentral:rRNA from 1 species
GACGAACGCUGGCGGCGUGCUUAACACAUGCAAGUCGAACGGAAAGGCCCUGCUUUUGUGGGGUGCUCGAGUGGCGAACGGGUGAGUAACACGUGAGUAACCUGCCCUUGACUUUGGGAUAACUUCAGGAAACUGGGGCUAAUACCGGAUAGGAGCUCCUGCUGCAUGGUGGGGGUUGGAAAGUUUCGGCGGUUGGGGAUGGACUCGCGGCUUAUCAGCUUGUUGGUGGGGUAGUGGCUUACCAAGGCUUUGACGGGUAGCCGGCCUGAGAGGGUGACCGGCCACAUUGGGACUGAGAUACGGCCCAGACUCCUACGGGAGGCAGCAGUGGGGAAUAUUGCACAAUGGGCGGAAGCCUGAUGCAGCGACGCCGCGUGCGGGAUGACGGCCUUCGGGUUGUAAACCGCUUUCGCCUGUGACGAAGCGUGAGUGACGGUAAUGAGUAAAGAAGCACCGGCUAACUACGUG